rnacentral:rRNA from 1 species
GCGGAGGAAAGAAACCACAGGGAUUGCCUAGUAACGGCGAGUGAAGCGGCACAGCUCAAAUUUGAAAUCUGGCUUCGGCCCGAGUUGUAAUUUGCAGAGGAAGCUUUAGGCGCGGCACUCGUGAGUCCCUGGAACGGGGCGCCACAGAGGGUGAGAGCCCCGUAUAGUUGGAUGCCUAGCCUGUGUAAAGCUCCUUCGACGAGUCGAGUAGUUUGGGAAUGCUGCUCAAAAUGGGAGGUAAAUUUCUUCUAAAGCUAAAUACCGGCCAGAGACCGAUAGCGCACAAGUAGAGUGAUCGAAAGAUGAAAAGCACUUUGAAAAGAGGGUUAAAUAGCACGUGAAAUUGUUGAAAGGGAAGCGCUUGUGACCAGACUUGCGCCGGGCUGAUCAUCCGGUGUUCUCACCGGUGCACUCUGCCCGGCUCAGGCCAGCAUCGGUUCUCGCGGGGGGAUAAAGGCCCUGGGAACGUAGCUCCUCCGGGAGUGUUAUAGCCCGGGGCGCAAUGCCCUCGCGGGGACCGAGGUUCGCGCUCUGCAAGGAUGCUGGCGUAAUGGUCAUCAGCGACCCGUCUUGAAACACGGACCAAGGAGUCAAGGUUUUGCGCGAGUGUUUGGGUGUAAAACCCGCACGCGUAAUGAAAGUGAACGUAGGUGAGAGCUUCGGCGCAUCAUCGACCGAUCCUGAUGUUCUCGGAUGGAUUUGAGUAGGAGCGUUAAGCCUUGGACCCGAAAGAUGGUGAACUAUGCUUGGAUAGGGUGAAGCCAGAGGAAACUCUGGUGGAGGCUCGCAGCGGUUCUGACGUGCAAAUCGAUCGUCAAAUCUGAGCAUGGGGGCGAAAGA